UUUCUCCGGGAAUCGCCCACACGAGCCAGAUGCCGCCCUCUCCUUCCGGUGGCGGCCGCGCGGGGCCCGCUCCCCAGGACGCCGGCCCCCGAGUGCCCGCGCGGCCCGGCGACUCUGCCGCCCCAAGUUCGCCCGCCGCCUCACGAGCGCCAACGCGUCUCGCACUUGGCAGACAGCGAGCAGGUUCUCCAGCACAGUGUUGAACAGAAGUAGCAAGAGUGGAUAUCCUUUUCUUUGUCCUAAUCCGAGGGCGAAAGUAUCCAGUCUUUCACCAUCAUAAACAAAGGCUUAAGGAAGGAAAGUGACUUGACCAAACUCAUACCAGUUGCUGGGCAAAGUCAGAACCGGAAACACAAGGAAAUAGAGAAUGAAAUCUGAAGAGUGACAGGUACAGGUGGUACAGUUCUGCACUGAUGAAGAUAAAAUGAAGAGAGACCUCAUCAAGCUCGGGAAAUGGAUAGAAAAGUAUCCGGGAGUUCUCGGUGUGGGCAACAAGCAGACAGCUUCUGUUCUCAGAUUGUGAUUGGCUUCCAGGAAGAAACCUUUCCUUCCUAAUAUGCUGCCCUCACCUCUUUGACUCCAGAGGAAAGCGCUCACUCUGUUCUGUGUCAUUUCAUCUCAGCUGUGAAACAGAUCUUCCCUUCAUUCACUAGAGCCCCCGGAGACCAGGCUGCACUACUAACAAGCUUAACUGAAGGUUGGGGAAUAACAGAAGAGGAGCACAUUGUCUAACUGCUGCUAGGUUUGGCUGCCAGAUGUGCUUACCCCUGAACUCAGGGAGGCUCAGACCCCUUCUGAGUUUAUGCCUAUUUGGUUCCCACCCCAGUGCAGCUCACUCCAACCGCAGAAGCAGAUCUAACAACCGCACAACUCCAAACACAAGCCCAAGCCAAGCUCCAGAGAUGGAAAGGAGAUGUUUCCUCCUUCCAGUUCAAGGCCAACCUUUCCAAUCAUCACUCAUUGGUACCAGUAUCUUACUUAUCCCAUGGUUCCCAGUAGGAUAAUGCAUCAAAACACAACAGCCCAACAUCAAUACACUCUAGACAACUCAACCUUAUAUUGCCCACAGGCACUGAUAGUCCUGGCCUGGUUGAGUCCUUUCUGCUCCUUUGUGUGGUCUGUCCACUCACAGGAGGCCCUGCCUGCUCAUUCUUCAUGCAGUCUCCAGAUUUUGCUUCUGGACAACAAUGCGCACAAAUCUCUAAGUAAAUAAGUAAUACUUUUCAGGCACAAUAUAGUCUAAGUUCAUAUGCUAAAGAAAAUAAAUAUUUGUCUAAGGGAGAUACAAUGCUCAGAGAUGCAACUCUGCAGAUUGCAAAACGGGCAUUUGUUGUUGAAUUAUAACACAGGGAUGUUUAGCAACACAGAGUCACCAAUGUAAGACAAGGCCUUUGCUUACGUAUGAACACCUAAAUGACUCAUUCUGAUUAUUUUUCCAAAAUACGAAAACAUUCUGUCCUGCAGGUGAAUUGCAGCUUCCAUCUCUUGAAAGGAAAACAACGUAUAGCUUUGAAAUCGCUGUGCUUUUCUUCUUCUUUCUGCUCAUCAUGUUUUCAAAAAUCUUUAAGGCUAAGGUUAAGUCAUCCCUCUUAGUUAAGUAUGAUAUUUAAUAGGGUCUAAAAUACAUUUAAUCUAUUUAUUUUGUAUAUUCAACAUCUCUAUAAUCAACGUAUCUUACAACCUAUGGCUUCUCAAAUCACACUCAGCCAAGCAGGAUUCGUGACACAGUUGCCUCUAUCUGUGAGAAAUUAGUCCAUUAUAAAACCGAGCUCACUGAAAGGAUAGUGACUUGGUUUUUCCUGUCAGGGUCUAACUGGACAACUGCACAGCUCCAGACAAUGUCAUUUGAGGAUACUUGAGGUGGGGGUAUAAACGUGUGGUCUGAAAAACUUCCAUGAAUAGCUUCCAGUAGGACCUAUAAAGCUCCAGAAUUAAAACUUUUAUAAUGGGUGCCAGUGGUUUGGAAAAAAGUAUUAGAGACAGUAAUGGAGCCCUCUUAGGAAAUGCCACCUCGCUCAUGUUCUUGGUGGCACAGUGUCUGAUACGCUGUGGAGAUACCAGUUGACUCUGCAUCCAAAAGUGAUUCAGAGGAACCAGCUUCUACAUGUGAAGAAAUUUUAGAGAAUAGUUAAACCAAUUUGUUUUGACUAAUUUACCCUUUGGUAUGCAUGAUAAAUGAUUUUCUUAAAUCUUUG